AGAUCUCCUUGCAGCUCAGUCCCCAGGGCUUUUCCAACCUGCAGAGCUCUGGAUGUCUCUUUUGGGGCUCUCGCUCAGCCAGGGUUGGGGUGGAGGCUCUAUGGUUCCCUCCUGCCCUUGGGCUACUGGAAGGACAGUUACCUCACUCCAGAGAGCUAGUUCUGAGGGGCGAGGUGUUGCGGGGUUGAGCCAGCAGGGCAGGGAGUAGUGGGCACUGCGUUUGGCUGCCCAGGUGGGUUUGGGGCCUCUCCCUGGCCAGAAAUCCCUGAGUGCCAGGAGGAGGACAGACUCCCCAGCCUGGCACCCAUGGUGGAGGAGGGCCUUGCGGGUCAUUGCUGGCAGCUCCAUAGGGAGGGCGUGAGGCCCCUUCCUGAGCCUGGGUGUCUGCUCAGAGCCCAAGGCAGGGUGGGGUAGGGGUGCUUGUGCCUGGUAGGAAGCAGACAGCAGGCUGGUCCAGGGGUCCAGGACCCCAGGGAGGAGGCACUGCUGCGUGUCUGUGUGGGUGCAAGCAUGUGUCUUGGCCUGUGUCUCUGCAUGUCCGUGCUGUGAGUACGUCUUUGAACAUGUGUUCUCUGCACACCGUGUCUCUGUGAGUGUGAGUCUGUGUCCCUGCCUGGCUGUCUC
rnacentral:lncRNA from 1 species